rnacentral:rRNA from 1 species
UCUGGUUGAUCCUGCCAGUAGUUAUAUGCUUGUCUCAAAGAUUAAGCCAUGCAUGUCUAAGUACACACGAAUUAAAAGUGAAACCGCAAAAGGCUCAUUAUAUCAGUUAUGGUUCCUUAGAUCGUUAACAGUUACUUGGAUAACUGUGGUAAUUCUAGAGCUAAUACAUGCAAUUAAACAUGAACCUUAUGGGACAUGUGCUUUUAUUAGGCUAAACCAAGCGAUCGCAAGAUCGUUUAUUUGGUUGAACUCUAGAUAACAUGCAGAUCGUAUGGUCUUGUACCGACGACAGAUCUUUCAAAUGUCUGCCCUAUCAACUUUUGAUGGUAGUAUCUAGGACUACCAUGGUUGCAACGGGUAACGGGGAAUCAGGGUUCGAUUCCGGAGAGGGAGCCUGAGAAACGGCUACCACAUCUAAGGAAGGCAGCAGGCGCGUAAAUUACCCACUCCCAGCUCGGGGAGGUAGUGACGAAAAAUAACAAUACAGGACUCAUAUCCGAGGCCCUGUAAUUGGAAUGAGUACACUUUAAUCCUUUAACAAGGACCAAUUGGAGGGCAAGUCUGGUGCCAGCAGCCGCGGUAAUUCCAGCUCCAAUAGCGUAUAUUAAAGUUGUUGCGGUUAAAACGUUCGUAGUUGAACUUGUGCUUCAUACGGGUAGUACAACUUACAAUUGUGGUUAGUACUAUACCUUUAUGUAUGUAAGCGUAUUACCGGUGGAUUCUUAUAUAUGUUUAAAUACUUGUAUUUUUUCAUAUGUUCCUCCUAUUUAAAAACCUGCAUUAGUGCUCUUAAACGAGUGUUAUUGUGGGCCGGUACAUUACUUUGAACAAAUUAGAGUGCUUAAAGCAGGCUUCAAAUGCCUGAAUAUUCUGUGCAUGGGAUAAUGAAAUAAGACCUCUGUUCUGCUUCAUUGGUUUUCAGAUCAAGAGGUAAUGAUUAAUAGAAGCAGUUUGGGGGCAUUAGUAUUACGACGCGAGAGGUGAAUUCUUGGACCGUCGUAAGACUAACUUAAGCGAAAGCAUUUGCCAAAGAUGUUUUCAUUAAUCAAGAACGAAGUUAGAGGUUCGAAGGCGAUCAGAUACCGCCCUAGUUCUAACCAUAAACGAUGCCAGCUAGCAAUUGGGUGUAGCUACUUUUAUGGCUCUCUCAGUCGCUUCCCGGGAACCAAAGCUUUUGGGCUCCGGGGAAGUAUGGUUGCAAGCUGAAACUUAAAGGAAUUGACGG